rnacentral:lncRNA from 1 species
CGGUCAGGGCAUUUUUAAAUAUUAAAUAAGAUGAUGGAAGAGUACAUUAUUGAAAGAUGACAUUUGAACAAAGACCAGAAGGAGGUGCGGAAGUUAACCAUUUGGAUAUUUCAGGGCCCUAUGGCGGGAGACUGUGCCUGGAGUGAUGAAGGAAGAAUAACGGAACCAGCGCGGCUGAAAAGAGGACAGAGAUAAGGAAGCUGAGAUGUAGAGCUGAAGUGUCUUGCCCAAGAUCAUUUGUCUACCUAUGACCUGGCUCAACCCAGCUACAAGUUGUUAAUAAGAGGGAAGCAUAUCAGGAAAAUCUGAGUGCAAUGGUUUAGGAAUUGGGAAAGUAUAAAAGGUAUAGCACAACAGCACUAGACAACUGAGGUAGUCACCUACCUAAGGAGAGAUGCCAAGGACAAGUUGGCCAGCUAAACACUUUCUCCAGAAAUGGGAUUUAUAGUUUUGCUAAUUUCUUUAAUAUCAGAAGACAGCUGGAUUCUCAUUUCUGCUUCUGCAUUCAGUCUAUUGUGAUAUAGCAUAUCAUGUAACUUCUGAAAAACUUCACUGUACACAGAUGCUGACCUCACAGACUCCCUGAAAGGAUCUCCAUGACCUCUAUGGUUCCUUAGACUGCACUUUGAGAACUAUUGACGUACAGGGAAAAAUGCUCUUGGUGUUCCAGUUAAGCACAGAAUAAAAUCUGGACUGUGUCAGUUUGUAAAGAUCUUAUGUCUACUUGGUCAUCAGCCAAGAAGGGAUUCCGAAGAUAGAAGAGGAGGCAUCAACACCGUGAACAUCAUGGCUGAGUUAUUUUGUGAGAGGGAUAAGCCUAAAGUAAAAACCUUGGAUUUGCCUCUGUCCUUGAACAUGCUAUCUGGAAAGAGUUUUCUUAAAAGUAUUGUUGUGAACACAUCCAUUUUCCCAGUAUAGUUGAAUGCAGGGUUUAAUAAAUGGAAUGAAUCUAG